rnacentral:rRNA from 1 species
CAGCAGUCGCCACGGUAAUACGGAGGGUGCAAGCGUUAAUCGGAAUUACUGGGCGUAAAGCGCACGCAGGCGGUCUGACAAGUCAGAUGUGAAAUCCCCGGGCUUAACCUGGGAACUGCAUUUGAAACUGUCAGGCUGGAGUCUUGUAGAGGGGGGUGGAAUUCCAGGUGUAGCGGUGAAAUGCGUAGAGAUCUGGAGGAAUACCGGUGGCGAAGGCGGCCCCCUGGACAAAGACUGACGCUCAGGUGCGAAAGCGUGGGGAGCAAACAGGAUUAGAUACCCCAGUAGUCCCUGUCUCUUAUAC